UUAGUUGGUGGAGUGAUUUGUCUGCUUAAUUGCGAUAACGAACGAGACCUCAACCUGCUAAAUAGUUACGCCAGCCUUGUCCGCGUAGUUGCCUCCGGGUGGCUAUUCGGUGCUGGUGGAAAUACUUCUUAGAGGGACUUUGUGUGUUGAGCACAAGGAAGUUUGAGGCAAUAACAGG
rnacentral:rRNA from 1 species